ncrna:unclassified sequences manA RNA
CGUUGAGUUGACGAACUCAGCAUGGGAGUGACUGAAUAAACUUACUGGCAUUUUGCUAGUUAAGGUGAUGAGACAGAGGUGGUGCUCGCUGUUGGGAACAACAGAACUACAAACCAAGUAGGUCUCAUGCAAAGACGUAUUUCUAAACUGUAGAAAUGCCCGUCUUUUGUAGGUACACAGGAAUCCUACCUCCCACCUC